UACGUAGGGGGCAAGCGUUGUCCGGAUUUAUUGGGCGUAAAGCGCGUGUAGGUGGCUUUACAGGUCCGCUGUGAAAACUUGAGGCUCAACCUCGAGACGUCGGCGGAAACCGUAUGGCUAGAGUCCGGAAGAGGAGAGCGGAAUUCCUGGUGUAGCGGUGAAAUGCGCAGAUAUCAGGAAGAACACCCGUGGCGAAGGCGGCUCUCUGGGACGGUACUGACACUGAGACGCGAAAGCGUGGGGAGCGAACAGG
rnacentral:rRNA from 1 species